rnacentral:rRNA from 1 species
UAGCGUAUAUUAAAGUUGUUGCGGUUAAAAAGCUCGUAGUUGGAUUUCUGUUGAAGGCAGCCGGUCCGCACUUGGUGCGUGUAUCUGGUUUGACUUCGGCAUCCUCUCAAAACACGUUUCUGCGCUUGAUUGCGUGGAGCGGGGUUUGAGACUUUUACUUUGAGGAAAUUAGAGUGUUCACGGCAGGCAAUCGCCUUGAAUAUAUUAGCAUGGAAUAAUAAUAUAGGAUCUUGGUUCUAUUUUGUUGGUUUCUAGAGCUAAGAUAAUGAUUAAUAGGGACAAUUGGGGGCAUUCGUAUUUAACUGUC